rnacentral:misc_RNA from 1 species
UGAACGGUACUUGCAUUACCUUUUCUCACUCUGCUGAAAUGAAUAGGCCAGAGAAGUGGACCCAUGGUAAUUGACUCCAGGAGUGUUUUUCAAUGCUAAACUAGUCUUUACCCAAGUCAGGUUCUGAGCUACCGGACCCCCAUUUAGUCCGAAACAGAGUGGUUGACCUCGGAUCAGGUAGGGAUACCCGCUGAACUUAA